GGCAACUGUUACUACAACGACUGACAAAUGCGACGAUGCUAGUGCUAACGACGCCGACUUGCCUUGCCAAUGAAGACCCAGUUUCAGCCGCAGUCUUCAUUGCGUUCCGAAAAUUCUAGUUCACGUACCACAUUGGGGGCAAAGGAUGUGUGCGGGCGAGGAAAUAAAGAGAAUUCAUUGUAGCUUUC